ACUGACAGCCAUGGUUACCGCGGCUGCUGGCACGGAGUUAGCCGGUGCUUCUUCUGCGAGUAACGUCACAGAUGUAAGGUAUUAACUUACACCCUUUCCUCCUCGCUGAAAGUGCUUUACAACCCGAAGGCCUUCUUCACACACGCGGCAUGGCUGCAUCAGGGUUUCCCCCAUUGUGCAAUAUUCCCCACUGCUGCCUCCCGUAGGAGUCUGGGCCGUGUCUCAGUCCCAGUGUGGCUGAUCAUCCUCUCAGACCAGCUAGGGAUCGUCGCCUAGGUGAGCCUUUACCUCACCUACUAGCUAAUCCCACCUGGGCUUAUCCAUCAGCGCAAGGCCCGAAGGUCCCCUGCUUUCCCCCGGUAGGGCGUAUGCGGUAUUAGCAGUCGUUUCCAACUGUUAUCCCCCACAAAUGGGCAAAUUCCCAGGCAUUACUCACCCGUCCGCCGCUCGUCAUCUUCAAAAGCAAGCUUUUGAAAUGUUACCGCUCGACUUGCAUGUGUUAGGCCUGCCGCCAGCGUUCAAU
rnacentral:rRNA from 1 species